UGGGGAAUUUUGGACAAUGGGCGCAAGCCUGAUCCAGCAAUGCCGCGUGCAGGAUGAAGGCCUUCGGGUUGUAAACUGCUUUUGUACGGAGCGAAAAGGUCUGCCCUAAUACGGUGGGCUCAUGACGGUACCGUAAGAAUAAGCACCGGCUAACUACGUGCCAGCAGCCGCGGUAAUACGUAGGGGGCGAGCGUUAAUCGGAAUUACUGGGCGUAAAGCGUGCGCAGGCGGUUAUGCAAGACAGAGGUGAAAUCCCCGGGCUCAACCUGGGAACUGCAGUUGUGACUGCAUAGCUGGAGUGCGGCAGAGGGGGAUGGAAUUCCGCGUGUAGCAGUGAAAUGCGUAGAUAUGCGGAGGAACACCGAUGGCGAAGGCAAUCCCCUGGGCCUGCACUGACGCUCAUGCACGAAAGCGUGGGGAGCAAACA
rnacentral:rRNA from 1 species